UCGAGUUUAAAACGUCGGAGACUGUGCUGGCCCUCGGGCAUGUGCACGUCCCCUUCAUUUCCACACACCUCGUGCACUCCAAGGUGGCUCUCUCACCGGGAGCCGCCUGCUUUUUACAUGCGCCUUUACGUAUUUUUGGGAAUGUCUUUUCUAAAUAGAAA
rnacentral:misc_RNA from 1 species